UACACGAGCGGCGAACGGGUGAGUAACACGUGGGUGAUCUACCUUGCACUUCGGGAUAAGCCUGGGAAACUGGGUCUAAUACCGGAUAUGACCAUGGGAUGCAUGUUCUGUGGUGGAAAGAUUUAUCGGUGCGAGAUGGGCCCGCGGCCUAUCAGCUUGUUGGUGAGGUAACGGCUCACCAAGGCGACGACGGGUAGCCGACCUGAGAGGGUGACCGGCCACACUGGGACUGAGACACGGCCCAGACUCCUACGGGAGGCAGCAGUGGGGAAUAUUGCACAAUGGGCGAAAGCCUGAUGCAGCGACGCCGCGUGCGGGAUGACGGCCUUCGGGUUGUAAACCGCUUUUGACAGGGACGAAGCGCAAGUGACUGUACCUGUAGAAUAAGGACCGGCCAACUACGUGCCAGCAGCCGCGGUAAUACGUAGGGUCCGAGCGUUGUCCGGAAUUACUGGGCGUAAAGAGCUUGUAGGCGGUUCGUCGCGUCGUUUGUGAAAACUUGGGGCUCAACCUUAAGCUUGCAGGCGAUACGGGCGGACUAGAGUACUUCAGGGGAGACUGGAAUUCCUGGUGUAGCGGUGAAAUGCGCAGAUAUCAGGAGGAACACCGGUGGCGAAGGCGGGUCUCUGGGAAGUAACUGACGCUGAGAAGCGAAAGCAUGGGUAGCAAACAGGAUUAGAUACCCUGGUAGUCCAUGCCGUAAACGGUGGGUACUAGGUGUGGGGCUCCUUCCACGGACUCCGUGCCGUAGCUAACGCAUUAAGUACCCCGCCUGGGGAGUACGGCCGCAAGGCUAAAACUCAAAGAAAUUGACGGGGGCCCGCACAAGCGGCGGAGCAUGUGGAUUAAUUUCGAUGCAACGCGAAGAACCUUACCUGGGUUUGACAUACACGAACCUGCAGAGAUGUAGCCCCUUGUGUCGUGUACAGGUGUGCAUGGCUGUCGUCAGCUCGUGUCGUGAGAUGUUGGGU
rnacentral:rRNA from 1 species